GUAAUAUAAACUCAUAGAAGCAUUCCGACUAGGAACAUCAAUGUGAACUACAAAAAAAAAAACAUUAUAUGGUACACGACCGUUGAAUGAGUACAAGUUACAACUCAAUUUAAAUGGAAAUUACUCGCGCACAGAGUUUACAGUACCUACAAAUUAUGAAAUGAAUAUUGUGAGUUACUGUAAUAUAAAGUAUAGACAGUCACGGAUGUAGCGGUUGAACAAUUACUAUAUUAUUUAGAUAUUAUUAUUAGUAUCAUCGUCAUAUAACCAUCGUAUACAAACGUACAGUGGACUUAAAUAGUUAUGAUUGCCAACCAAAGUGGGCCAAUCCACCCCAAUGCCAUGAAUUUAGAAUGACAGUACAACAGUUUGUAGAUAGUUUGAACAUUCAUUUUGAGAAAAAUGCCUGGAUAUAAACGCACACGUUGGAACAAAAUAUAAUGACAGAAACUAAAACAAAUGGAUGCAAUUUAGAAAACGAUCUACUAAGUAAGCCUAUGAAGUUGAUGGCCCGAAAUGACCUAAAACGCCUGCCAGAAUGUCCUGAGUAUGGCCAGUGAAAAAUUCUAAAUAAGACAAAACUUACUGGGGGGGGGGUUUAUUAAAAUGAAAAUGUUUUUGCUAAAAACAAUUAGCUAAAGGAGAAAUUCAUAAUGUUAAUUACUAAAACAUUUCAUAAAAAGAGAUUUUGUCGUAAUACU